rnacentral:rRNA from 1 species
AUUGAACGCUGGCGGCAGGCCUAACACAUGCAAGUCGAGCGAGCGGCGGACAGGUGAGUAAUGUCUGGGAAACUGCCUGAUGGAGGGGGAUAACUACUGGAAACGGUAGCUAAUACCGCAUACCAUCAGAUGUGCCCCGAUGGGAUUAGCUAGUAGGUGGGGUAACGGCUCACCGAGGCGACGAUCCCUAGCUGGUCUGAGAGGAUGCCCAACCACACGGGACAUGAGACACGGUCCAGACUCCUACGGGGGGCAGCAGUGGGGAAUAUUGCACAAUGGGCGCAAGCCUGAUGCAGCCAUGCCGCGUGUGGUAAGAAGGCCUUCGGGUUGUAAAGCACUUUCAGCGGGGAGGCGUUACCCGCAGAAGAAGCACCGGCUAACUCCGUGCCAGCAGCCGCGGUAAUAC